CAAUAGCGUAUAUUAAAGCUGUUGCGGUUAAAAAGCUCGUAGUUGGAUUUCUGUCAAGGACAACUGGUCCGCCCUCCGGGUGAGCACAUAGUUUGGUCUUGACAUCUUGCUGGAAGCUGUUGCUGCACUUGGCUGUGUGGCGCAGUGUUCAGCACUUUCACUUUGAGGAAAUUGGAGUGUUUCAAGCAGGCACAUGCCUUUGGACACAGUAGCAUGGGAUAAUUAGAUUGGGCUUUUGCUCCAAUUUGUCGGUUUCUGGAGCUGAGGUGAGUAUUAAUGGGGAUUGUUGGGGGCAUCCGAAUUUAGCCGUCAGAGGUGAAAUUCUUGGAUCUGCUAAAGACGGACAACUGCGAAAGCGUUUGCCCAGGAUGUUUUCAUUGA
rnacentral:rRNA from 1 species